GAUGAACGCUGGCGGCGUGCCUAAUACAUGCAAGUCGAGCGAACGGACGAGAAGCUUGCUUCUCUGAUGUUAGCGGCGGACGGGUGAGUAACACGUGGAUAACCUACCUAUAAGACUGGGAUAACUUCGGGAAACCGUAGCUAAUACCGGAUAAUAUUUUGAACCGCAUGGUUCAAAAGUGAAAGACGGUCUUGCUGUCACUUAUAGAUGGAUCCGCGCUGCAUUAGCUAGUUGGUAAGGUAACGGCUUACCAAGGCAACGAUGCAUAGCCGACCUGAGAGGGUGAUCGGCCACACUGGAACUGAGACACGGUCCAGACUCCUACGGGAGGCAGCAGUAGGGAAUCUUCCGCAAUGGGCGAAAGCCUGACGGAGCAACGCCGCGUGAGUGAUGAAGGUCUUCGGAUCUUAAAACUCUGUUAUUAGGGAAGAACAUAUGUGUAAGUAACUGUGCACAUCUUGACGGUACCUAAUCAGAAAGCCACGGCUAACUACGUG
rnacentral:rRNA from 1 species